rnacentral:rRNA from 1 species
ACACUGUUCAUGUGGGCAGCAGCACAUGAGAAAUCAAAGUCUUUGGGUUCCGGGGGGAGUAUGGUCGCAAGGCUGAAACUUAAAGGAAUUGACGGAAGGGCACCACCAGGAGUGGAGCCUGCGGCUUAAUUUGACUCAACACGGGAAAACUUACCAGGUCCAGACAUAGGAAGGAUUGACAGAUUGAGAG